GGGCUGUCAUUCACCUUCUCUACAAGCAGCCAGAGGCAAAUGAAGCAUGACUUACUGCCAGAAAGCAAGCAGUUUGAUCUCUGGAAUUGGGAUUCAGUUUGCUGUCUCUGUAAGCACAUUUCUGCUAUUUGAUUUUUGUCACCUUCCUCUGAAACUCCUGCUGAAAUAAUUUUUUAGUUAUGCAGACAGACAGAAUGAAAGCAUAUGAUAUACUGAAAAGCUUAUCGUCUGUAUAAAUACUUCUAUUUUAUAUAAACAUAUGUGUAAAAGAGAAAGCCUGGCAAUUCUUUCAUUAGCUCAAAUGGUGUCAUUUUUUCCUUAGGAAGUGGUUGACACCCAUUCACCCACUGAAUAUCUCAGAUCUUGGGUGCCAGAUGAGAGCUGUUCUAGUCAGUGAGUGCUUUGGAGUGAACCUGACUCAAGAAAUUCUUCUGCCAAAGGCAAGCCAGGCUGUUGGAAAUGUUUGUUAGUCCUGGAGCUGGUCCUGGAGAUGAUUUCACUGACAGCCAAGUUGAAAGUGGAUUGAAACCAAAAGGAGCUUAUGAUUAGCCCAGAAAAUGAUAUUAGGCUACAGGUGGAAGUAGGAGGAGAAGAAAUUUUUUUGCAUUAAUCUUAUUCUUAAACCUGUGCAGGUCUAACCUGUAAGUUGUCUUUUGGCAAGCAGCUACACCUGUCCUGAAUCACCUGGUCCAUUUCUAUGAAUUGUAGAAACAUUCAGGAUAUACAACUGAAGCA